rnacentral:rRNA from 1 species
UACGAAGGGGGCUAGCGUUGCUCGGAAUCACUGGGCGUAAAGGGUGCGUAGGCGGGUCUUUUAAGUCAGGGGUGAAAUCCUGGAGCUCAACUCCAGAACUGCCUUUGAUACUGAAGAUCUUGAGUUCGGGAGAGGUGAGUGGAACUGCGAGUGUAGAGGUGAAAUUCGUAGAUAUUCGCAAGAACACCAGUGGCGAAGGCGGCUCACUGACCCGAUACUGACGCUGAGGCACGAAAGCGUGGAGAGCAAACAGG